CAAGGGGCAUGCGCAUGGGUUGGGUGAUUCCACGUCAAUGAGGAGCUCCCCUGCUUCAAGAUUCCAGUGGCAUUCCGUUGCACGUUAGGAAUAUAUCCCAAAAUAAAUCCCAUAAAUCCCCAUUGCCUGUUACCACUGAGCUGCUUCCUGGCUUCCUCCCAGGGCCUGUAACACAACUAGGUCCCGUUCCACCCAGGCCUGCCCUAUAGGUCCCUUUUAUCUUGGCAAGGCUGGGUCUUCAUCAUCUUAGAUUACAGGAUUGUCUUUCAGUGGCUUUUCCCCAUCGCCCUGCCUGGCUCCGAUGCUCAUUUCCAUUAUUGCUCUGCCCCACUUUGGGUUUAUCUGCCAAUCUUGUUAAUAAUCCGAAAGACUCAAGUAUUGAGGGGUUCGCCCCCUGGUGUAAGCAGUGUUUAGAAGUAGGGGAUGUAACCGGAUCAAGAGGACUCUGAAGUCAUUGAUGAAUUAACCCACAGAUGGCCUCAUAACUGAAGGGACUUUUGGGAGGAAGGGAUCUGACUGGAGGAAGUAGGUUGCCAGGGUGUGUAUUUGCGGGGUUAUCUUGUGCCCGUCUGCCUCCCCCAGUCUUUCUCAGCUUCCGGUGCAGUACGUGGUGGGCAGCUUUGUUCUAUGGUGGGUUGUUUGUGACGUUUUGCCUUGCUUUGAACCAGGAGCAGUGGUGUUCACUAGCCAGGGGCCGAAACCCCUGAAACCGUCAGCCAAAAUGAAUCCUUCCUUUAUUCCUCUCAGAGGAAUGGCUGACAGGGAGAGCUGUCUCUAGUUUGUUCAAAGGACAUCCAUGUUGCCUAACAUGACAUUCAUCCCUGUUCGGGGUUUGUUAAAUGAAGAGAAGCUGCCUGAGACUGUAGCCCAGGCAGUCACGUGACCCAUAGGUCCCUGCGCUCCCAUCGCUUCUGUUCUGUCCAGGUUCCUGCCCUGACUGCUCUCAGUGAUGGAGUGAGACCUAAGAUUUGGAACCCGAAGUAAACCCUCAGCUCGCCAAGUUGCUCAUGGUUUUCAUCUCAGCCACAGGGACACAUGGAUGGACUGUAUCCCUCUGCGACUGUGAGCCAAAAGAAAAAUCUCUCGAGCUGCCUUUAUCAGGGUAUUUUAUCCCAGAAACAGAAAGGAAACAGACACAUCUGGAUGUUUUAUUUUGAUUUUAUCCCAUGAGUUCUGGGAGAUAGAACUGAAGCAAGUAUUUUAUACCAACUGAGCUAUAUCCCCAGCCCUACAAGUUAAAUUCUCUAACUGCCUGAUUCACCUCAAAGACAUAAUGAUGAUCUCUGGUUUGGAUCUCAAGACCUGUGAGCAGAGGGAGAGAGAUGGGGCUUUAGCCAAACACCUCACCUGACCAUGGAAGAGACAUGAGGUUUUCCUAUACAUCAUCUAACUGAACUCUCCCAGGUUAGGUCCACCACAGAGAUGUGUGUCACCUUCUUCUAUGGAUCUAGAAAUGGACAUGUAAUGAGAUGGAUUGAGCUCCAGCUUGUGGGUUUCUUUUAUUGAGAAUCCCCUGAAGGCAGAGUGAGUGUUAACAUUUUGU
rnacentral:lncRNA from 1 species